UGCCCGUGAUGUGGCAAUCUCUGAGAAACUUUUGAAGUGCUCCUAUGUCUCAGGUAGACCUUCCCCUUGAUUCUGUUGCAACCCCACAAUUUUACUUCUGAGUGA